CGGGCUGGAAUCUCUCGGGGUUACAGCCUUGCUGAAUUAUUCACCCUUGUCUUUUGCGUACUUCUUGUUUCCUUGGUGGGUUCGCCCACCACUAGGACAAACAUAAACCUUUUGUAAUUGCAAUCAGCGUCAGUAACAAAUUAAUAAUUACAACUUUCAACAACGGAUCUCUUGGUUCUGGCAUCGAUGAAGAACGCAGCGAAAUGCGAUAAGUAGUGUGAAUUGCAGAAUUCAGUGAAUCAUCGAAUCUUUGAACGCACAUUGCGCCCUUUGGUAUUCCAAAGGGCAUGCCUGUUCGAGCGUCAUUUGUACCCUCAAGCUUUGCUUGGUGUUGGGCGUCUUGUCUCUAGCUUUGCUGGAGACUCGCCUUAAAGUAAUUGGCAGCCGGCCUACUGGUUUCGGAGCGCAGCACAAGUCGCACUCUCUAUCAGCAAAGGUCUAGCAUCCAUUAAGCCUUUUUUUCAACUUUUGACCUCGGAUCAGGUAGGGAUACCCGCUGAACUUAAG
rnacentral:rRNA from 1 species